rnacentral:tRNA from 1 species
GCGUCGGUGGUGUAAUGGUUAGCAUUGGUGCCUUCCAAGCACUAGACAGGGGUUCGAUUCCCCUCCGACGCA